UUAAACCUACGGGGGGCAGCAGUGAGGAAUAUUGGUCAAUGGUCGGGAGACUGAACCAGCCAAGCCGCGUGAGGGAGGAAGGUACAGAGUAUCGUAAACCUCUUUUGUCAGGGAACAAAGACUGGGACGCGUCCCCGGAUGAGUGUGCCUGAAGAAAAAGCAUCGGCUAACUCCGUGCCAGCAGCCGCGGUAAUACGGAGGAUGCGAGCGUUAUCCGGAUUUAUUGGGUUUAAAGGGUGCGCAGGCGGUCUGUUAAGUCAGCGGUCAAAGCCCGGGGCUCAACCCCGGCCCGCCGUUGAAACUGG
rnacentral:rRNA from 1 species